ACCCGCCGCGGCUUGGAGAUCGCAGCGGGACGUGCCUCUCUGACUACUAUUGAGACUGGAGGCGCUGUAGGAUGAAGGCAGGAGGAGCCGCUGAGCAAAACUUCGUGGAGUUGGGUCCAGAAUCCUUUGGCGACAGCGGCUCAUCACCUGAGACCUGACCUGGACAAGCAUGGUCUCCAGGUGUGUCUCUGCUGGUCUCCGGGUGCAAGGGUUGCCUAGGCUACAGAAGAAAGCUUAGUGCAGAGAUGAGGGAUGGAGAGAGGUGAGCGAUUAGAAAAGGACUACAGGGCCAUAGUCAGCCCUGGAAAGUUCCUGUCUCUGUUCCAAGUUCUACAACAUGCCCUGCCUCUUGUCUUUGUCCCAGAACAGGAGGCCAGGCUCCUCCUGAAGAUGGUUUCUGUGACAUCCCACAGUGAAGCAAUGCUCUGGGGGAGGAAUGGGGAGACAGUGCAUUAGCACUGUAGGGCAGGGUCAGCAGCACACCCAUGACCCCCAAACCUCAGGUUCAAGUCCUCCUCUUAAGUGCUGGCUACAUCACCUUAGGCCAGUGGUUCUCAGCCUUCCUAAUGCUGGGACCCUUUAAUACUGCAGCCUCCUGCUGUGCUGACCCCCAACCAUAACAUUAUUCUCGUUGCUACUUCAUAGCUGUAAUUUUGCUACUGUUACGAAUCAUAAUGAAAUCAUUUGACUUGGCAGAGGUUGUGUCCCCCAGAUUGAGAAACACCCCCCAAGACAAAAGUCUUGGCUCUGAGUUUUGGUUCUGUCAUCUGUCCUGAGAACCAGAGAAGUUGUACCUUCCAGUCCUUCAGAAGAAGUUAGAGCAGAUGUGGUGUGUGCCCAGAACUCUUAAGAAAUCCUUCUACGUUAGUCCCCUUCUUUGGAUCUCAAAUUCCUGUGACCCUCUAACCUCCUCCCUCCCAGGACCGAGCCGGAAAUCUAGAAAGUUCUUGACAGGCAAGAGUGUGUGUGUGUGGGGGGUCAUUAUUAUUUUGCACUGAUUAUUUGUGUGUGACUCUUAGCUUUUCCAACCUUCCCUGGCUCCCCUCUUACAAAUAAAUGCCUUGUUUUUAGCCAGCCUCCGCUUCCUGUUGUCACAUGGUGGAGUCCCAGCCUAUGGUACAUGGUGGGCUGUCAUCUGUUAGUGUGAGAAGAGUUACAGCCCAACAGUAAGGCUCACUCCAUAUUCUCCCAACCAUUAUGUGAUGCUGGACCUACAUCCUUCCGUGCUGACAGAGGGCUGUCAGUGGACACAGACAAGUAGCCACCACCCAGAAAGACAAGCACGGGCCAUAUUUAGAUGUACUUAAACCCACACAGCCCCAUGAAGGGUCCAGGCAGAGGUUAACAUCUCAUUAGAUGUCUCAUCCAGAGAUGUCAAGGUCACACGAUAAUGGCAAUGAGAAACACUGGAUCGUAAAUCCAGUUCCAUGCCCACUGUUGUGGAAACAGGCCUGCCAAUAAGGGUUCUGAGAGAACCAUUUCCCCAGAGUUACCCUGUGUUUGGUCUGUGUUCUAAGGUAUCCUAUGAGCUCAGAUGCUGCCAUCUUCAUGAGACUAGGACAGGAGGGUCAUUAGACCCUCUCCUGAGUUUCUGGCCACUCCUCCCAGUCACUUGUACACAAUUCUGCCCUAAUUGCAUGAGGUCUCUAGACAGGGCAAGAGUAUAUAGGCUGGGGAGAACUAGAGGAGAAGGCUCCACCUAUACAGCUCUGGGGAAGCCAUCAAGCCAUCGUCCAUGCUGGGUGGAGACUUUCCAGUGUAGCUGUUUUGGGGUCACUGUGCUCUGUAAGUAAGAAAGUACAACAAACUCACUGGUUCCCUGGGGAGAACUGUGGUGAAACGGACUUUUGGGUUGUAAUUAGAAGGGGAGGAUAGAUGCUGUCCACAUCUCCCCAGGGAAAGACUUUUCAUAGCAGCUCAACCAAUAGCCUGAAAACCAUGAAUACCAGGUUCCCUUGGCUAAAGUACACAGGGUUCUUCUUUGGUGGCUUUCAUGAUUAUCCACUUUGGAGAGCUGGGUCCCUGUGUGAGAGAACUGGCCCAAAGUGCCAAAAGAUUGAAGAAGGGUGAACAGACCCAGACCUGGACAGAGUACACGUCACUGGGAACUUACUGCAAGUGUUACAGCUCUGAAGGAAAAGCCUUCCCCAAUGGAACAGCUCUGCUCUGAGGGGGGAACAUUUCCCCAGUGCAACUGUUGCCGCUCUUAAGGCUAAGAUAUUCCUUGGCAAUUGUUUGUGUAACAAACCUCAUGCAAGAGGCUGUCUGCUAUGGCUCAGGUAAGCAGCAGCAAUACAGGGAACUGAGCAGGAGACCUCUCUGUGUGUGUGUUUGUGUGUGUGUGUGUGUGUGUGUCCACAGUGGAGAUUUCCAAGGCAUGGGUUGGUGAGAUUUCAAGACAAGCUCAGGGAUUGGUGGGAUUUCAAGAUCAGGGAUUGGCGGGUUUUGAUAGGUUUUCAAACCUGGAAGUGGGCUCGGACCUUUAACCUUACACUUACAGAUGAAAAUAUUAGGUGACUGCAAGUGGAUCCCCACACCCCAAGGAGGUAGAAAGGGUCCUUCGUUUGGGAAAAAAAAGUUCCCUUUACUUAAGGCCUAGUAAACUAGCAACCUACAGACCAGAGAUGAGAAGAUGUACUGCUCAGAGCCCUGGCUAGGGGAAGCACUGUUUGCUGUCUGGAAAGAGCAGAGCCACAGCCUCCAGGCAAUGGAUUCUAAUCAGGUUUGCCAGCAUCUGACCUGGGCCAAGGUUAUCCUGGUCCUUAGAGGUUAGCCCAAUGCACAGCUUCUGGAAUGUGGGGGGGGGAAGGGAUGGAGGAAUAGGUUUCAGAGAGGGUCUGUCUGUUCUGUUCUAACAAGCCUCUGCUCUCUGGGCUGCCGUAGAUCCUGUUACAUGCUCUCUGGGAAUCUUUUGGUGACCUGUAAGUGCCCACCCCCAACAGACCUAGAGACCUGCUCCGAAAUGACAGAAAAGGAUACUGGGGGUGGGGGCAGUACACCUGUUUUCUAUUAUUGCUAAGGAUGCAUUCCAAGGUCCAAGCUAGGGUAUGGGGGCUGCAAGAGUGACACUCUAAAGGGCUUCUCAGAAUGUUCUUAGUGACGUAAGAGUUUCUGGGCAUGACAUGGGGCUACCUGGGUGGCAAACUCUCCUACCUAUGCUCUGUAGCAUUAAGGGAAAGCCUUGGGAUUUAGGGGCUCCUUAAGGGAGAGAUCCACUGUAGGUUCUAACCAAUGUCAUACCCUAGAGACCAUUACAGAGCCUGAAAUUCCUGUUGGACAUCUGGGGCUGACAAACACUUUUUUUUUUAAGAUUUAUUUUUAUUUUAUGUAUGAGUGUUUUGCCUGUUUGUAUGUAUGUUAAGUGCAUGCCUGGUGCCCUCAGGGACAGAAGAUGGCAUUGGAUCUCCUGGAACUGGAGUUAGGUACAGUUAUGAGCCACCAUGAAGGUGCUUAGAGUCAAACCUGGGUCCCCUGCAAGAGCAACAAGUGCUGUUAACUGCUGAACCAUCUCUCCACCCCCUAAGCAUUUUUUUUUCCAGGAACCUUUCAAGAACCCUCCCCACGCUCCUGGCUGCAUCCAGUAUCAGACUCAUGCUCUGAGAUCCAAGGGCAGAAGAGAACAGGGAUAAGGAGAGCUCAGACCGUGAAAAGGGAGCGGAGAGGGCUUGGAGCUUGCUGACUAGUCCAGCUUAAUUGGUGAGAUCCAGGCCAAUGAGAGUCCUGGUCUCAGAGGCAGUAGACAGUGGACAAGUGAGUUUAUGCUCUGGUCUCUACAAGCAGGCACAAAGACACAUACACACCUUCACACAAAGAUUCACAAAUGCACACACACAUGCGUUUGUUUGUUUGUUGGUUUGUUUUUUCAAGUCAGGGUUUCUCUAUAUAGCCCUGAUCAUCCUGGAACUCAUUCGGUAAACCAGACUGGCCUCGAACUCAAAGAUCUGCCUGUCUCUGCCUCCCAAGUGCUGGGAUUAAAGGCAUGUGCCGCCACCACCUGGCUGUACAUGCAUUUUUGAAAAGGUGUCUUUAUUUGUCUCACAGUACACAUACAUAAUAGCCUGUUGUGGAGGCUGGAAAGUCUUAUGGCAUCAUAAGUAUGGCCUCAGAAAAGAUAUCAUACUGCUUCAACUCCCAGUAAAAACAGGCAAGGGGCACAGGUGGAGAGGGGAGAAGACAAGGGGUGGUCCGGCUUUAUCACAGUCUGCUUUGGGAGUCACUAAUCCACUCCUGAUUGAUCAGGAGCUCACGACCCUGAGAAUCAGCUGAAAAUUUAUAGAAGUAAAAAAUGCAGAAACCC
rnacentral:lncRNA from 1 species